GGGCGGUUAGCUCAGCGGUAGAGCACUACGUUGACAUCGUAGUGGCCACUGGUUCGAUCCCAGUACCGCCCACCA
rnacentral:tRNA from 245 species